rnacentral:rRNA from 1 species
GAUGAACGCUGGCGGCGUGCCUAAUACAUGCAAGUCGAGCGAACGGACGAGAAGCUUGCUUCUCUGAUGUUAGCGGCGGACGGGUGAGUAACACGUGGAUAACCUACCUAUAAGACUGGGAUAACUUCGGGAAACCGUAGCUAAUACCGGAUAAUAUUUUGAACCGCAUGGUUCAAAAGUGAAAGACGGUCUUGCUGUCACUUAUAGAUGGAUCCGCGCUGCAUUAGCUAGUUGGUAAGGUAACGGCUUACCAAGGCAACGAUGCAUAGCCGACCUGAGAGGGUGAUCGGCCACACUGGAACGGAAACACGGUCCAGACUCCUACGGGAGGCAGCAGUAGGGAAUCUUCCGCAAUGGGCGAAAGCCUGACGGAGCAACGCCGCGUGAGUGAUGAAGGUCUUCGGAUCGUAAAACUCUGUUAUUAGGGAAGAACAUAUGUGUAAGUAACUGUGCACAUCUUGACGGUACCUAAUCAGAAAGCCACGGCUAACUACGUG